rnacentral:rRNA from 1 species
UACGUAGGGGGCAAGCGUUGUCCGGAAUCAUUGGGCGUAAAGAGCGCGUAGGCGGCCCAGUAAGUCCGCUCUGAAAGUCAGGGGCUCAACCCCUGAAUGCGGGUGGAUACUGCUGGGCUAGAGUCCGGAAGAGGCGAGUGGAAUUCCUGGUGUAGCGGUGAAAUGCGUAGAGAUCGGAAAGAACACCAACGGCGAAAGCACUCUGCUGGGCCGACACUGACACUGAGAGACGAAAGCUAGGGGAGCGAAUGGG